rnacentral:rRNA from 1 species
ACACUCAGGGAUAUCCUUUCGAAAGAAAGAUUAAUACCUGAUAGUAUCUUAAGCACACAUGUAAUUAAGAUUAAAGAUUUAUCGGUGUACGAUGGGGAUGCGUUCCAUUAGGUAGUAGGCGGGGUAACGGCCCACCUAGCCGACGAUGGAUAGGGGUUCUGAGAGGAAGGUCCCCCACAUUGGAACUGAGACACGGUCCAAACUCCUACGGGAGGCAGCAGUGAGGAAUAUUGGUCAAUGGACGAGAGUCUGAACCAGCCAAGUAGCGUGAAGGAUGAAGGUCCUACGGAUUGUAAACUUCUUUUAUAAGGGAAUAAACCCUCCCACGUGUGGGAGCUUGUAUGUACCUUAUGAAUAAGCAUCGGCUAACUCCGUGCCAGCAGCCGCGGUAAUACGGAGGAUGCGAGCGUUAUCCGGAUUUAUUGGGUUUAGAGGGAGCGCAGACGGGUCGUUAAGUCAGCUGUGAAAGUUUGGGGCUCAACCUUAAAAUUGCAGUUGAUACUGGCGUCCUUGAGUGCGGUUGAGGUGUGCGGAAUUCGUGGUGUAGCGGUGAAAUGCUUAGAUAUCACGAAGAACUCCGAUUGCGAAGGCAGCACACUAAUCCGUAACUGACGUUCAUGCUCGAAAGUGAGGGUAUCAAACAGGAUUAGAUACCCUGGUAGUCCACACGGUAAACGAUGGAUACUCG